rnacentral:lncRNA from 1 species
CUCAGUCUCUGCAAUCAGAGAGGCCUGAGUUCAAAUCCUACUUCUGGCCCAGAAGUGAUUAUGUGAUUACACAGCCCAGCAAGGUGGAUCCUCAUGACUACAUUAAAGAAUUUCUCGCUGGGGGCCCAGGAGUUCAGGGAGAGACAGCCUUGUGGGUAGGUGUGAUUCUCUACAGGCAACCGUAGGCGGAAUUCAGCAAUUCUCUUCAUUCCCCAAAGAAAAUCUGCUUCACUGGACCUUGGUAAAAUAACGGAUCGUUGCCUGGAGGUUCACCUGAUGGGCAGCAAAAGGGGAUUUAUAUUACAUAGUACGCAUUUUCUUUUCAGUCCUCCCUGAUCCCCUUUGGUCUUUGUCCUGUGGAUGCCUGUUUCCAACAAUGUUCUCUCAUCUCAUCUAUUCUGGCAUAUUCUCUCAGGAUUCCUAUCUCUGUCUGCCCAUUCCACACACUGAAUAAUUUAGCUCCCAUAAUCUGGCAUCUAUAUCACUUACC